CCGUCAAUUCAUUUAAGUUUCACACUUGCGUGCGUACUCCCCAGGCGGGAUACUUAACGCGUUAGCUACGGCACUGUCCGGGUCGAUACAGACAACACCUAGUAUCCAUCGUUUACGGCUAGGACUACUGGGGUAUCUAAUCCCAUUCGCUCCCCUAGCUUUCGUCCCUGAGUGUCAGUUAUGGUCCAGCAAAGCGCCUUCGCCACCGAUGUUCUUCCUGAUCUCUACGCAUUUCACCGCUACACCAGGAAUUCCCUUUGCCCCUACCAUACUCUAGCUGUUCAGUUUCCACUGCCUUUCCGAGGUUGAGCCCCGGUCUUUGACAGCAGACUUGAACUGCCACCUGCGGACGCUUUACGCCCAAUCAUUCCGGAUAACGCUUGCAUCCUCCGUCUUACCG
rnacentral:misc_RNA from 1 species